rnacentral:rRNA from 1 species
UCAGGAUGAACGCUAGCGGCAGGCUUAACACAUGCAAGUCGAGGGCAGCGCUGAGUAGCAAUACUCGUGGCGGCGACCGGCGAAAGGGUGAGUAACGCGUGAGCAACAUGCCCGGUAGUGGAGGAUAGUCGAUGGAAACGUCGCGUAAUACUCCGUAACAUACGGGACCGCAUGAUUCUGUAUUAAUAGAUUUAUUGCUGUCGGAUUGGCUCGCGUACCAUUAGCUAGUUGGCGGGGUAACGGCCCACCAAGGCGACGAUGGUUAGGGGUUCUGAGAGGAAGGUCCCCCACAUUGGAACUGAGACACGGUCCAGACUCCUACGGGAGGCAGCAGUGAGGAAUAUUGGACAAUGGCCGGAAGGCUGAUCCAGCCAUGCCGCGUGCGGGAAGACGGCCCUAUGGGUUGUAAACCGCUUUUGUUGGGGAGCAAUAAGGGUCACGUGUGGCCUGACGAGAGUACCCAGCGAAUAAGCAUCGGCUAACUCCGUGCCAGCCGCCGC